UGUGCCAGCAGCCGCGGUAAUACGGAGGGUGCAAGCGUUAAUCGGAAUUACUGGGCGUAAAGCGCACGCAGGCGGUUUGUUAAGUCAGAUGUGAAAUCCCCGGGCUCAACCUGGGAACUGCAUCUGAUACUGGCAAGCUUGAGUCUCGUGGAGGGGGGUAGAAUUCCAGGUGUAGCGGUGAAAUGCGUAGAGAUCUGGAGGAAUACCGGUGGCGAAGGCGGCCCCCUGGACGAAGACUGACGCUCAGGUGCGAAAGCGUGGGGAGCAAACAGGAUUAGAUA
rnacentral:rRNA from 1 species